GAUCUGGGAGAAGCUCGAAAACAUCCGAGGUUGUGACGGGUCUACUGUUGUUGGGUGCCCAGAGCACUGAUGCUACAGGCAGAAACCAUCUGCUGUAGAAGCUCGGACGGAGACUUUCUAUUGGGGAAGUCCGAUUUUAGAAAGAAUCUGGCAGAGGGUCUGCCGGAGGUGGACUUCGAAUGGCGUUGGGAAGGUUCGUCCUCUGGAGGAGUCAGGGGAUCUUGUGGAAGUCUGGAUGGCGUUGUUGAAGUUCGGCUGAUGCUAUUGAAAGUUGAUGGCUGGGGAGGUUCGGCAGACACCGGAGGCGAUUGGUCAUUGUAGAAAUCCAGCUGCUGGAGCCCGUUUGUUGUAGAAGCUCGUCCAGAAUCCAUCCGCUAUGGAAGUUCGGACGGAGCCCGAUUCUUGCAGAAGGCUGAAAGGAGGCCGCUUAUUGUAGAAGCUCGAUCGAAGAUCGGUUGUCGUGGAAGCUCGGAGUAGUGACCUAGUCGGUGGAGCCUGUCCCGUUGUAGAAGCUCAUCUGGGAUCCGGAGUAGAUAUUCAAAGUAGACCGCCUGCAGUAGGAGUUCGGAGUAGACUGCCUGCUGUAGAAGUUCGGCUCUCGCAGGAGCUCGGGUGGAAUCCG
rnacentral:lncRNA from 1 species